rnacentral:rRNA from 1 species
AUUGAACGCUGGCGGCAUGCUUUACACAUGCAAGUCGAACGGUAACAGGUUAAGCUGACGAGUGGCGAACGGGUGAGUAAUGCAUCGGAACGUGCCCGGUCGUGGGGGAUAACGCAGCGAAAGCUGCGCUAAUACCGCAUACGAUCUGAGGAUGAAAGCGGGGGACCGUAAGGCCUCGCGCGAUCGGAGCGGCCGAUGUCAGAUUAGGUAGUUGGUGGGGUAAAGGGUCACCAAGCCGACGAUCUGUAGCUGGUCUGAGAGGACGACCAGCCAUACUGGGACUGAGACACGGCCCAGACUCCUACGGGAGGCAGCAGUGGGGAAUUUUGGACAAUGGGCGCAAGCCUGAUCCAGCAAUGCCGCGUGCAGGAAGAAGGCCUUCGGGUUGUAAACUGCUUUUGUACGGAGCGAAAAGGCUCUCUCUAAUACAGGGGGCUCAUGACGGUACCGUAAGAAUAAGCACCGGCUAACUACGUGCCAGCAGCCGCAGUAA